AUUGAACGCUGGCGGCAGGCCUAACACAUGCAAGUCGAACGAGUGGCGGACGGGUGAGUAAUGUGUGGGAAACUGCCUGAUGGAGGGGGAUAACUACUGGAAAAGAUAGCUAAUACCGCAUACCCUCAGGUGUGCCCAGAUGGGAUUAGCUUGUUGGUGGGGGAACGGCUCACCAAGGCGACGAUCCCUAGCUGGUCUGAGAGGAUGACCAGCCACACUGGAACUGAGACACGGUCCAGACUCCUACGGGAGGCAGCAGUGGGGAAUAUUGCACAAUGGGCGCAAGCCUGAUGCAGCCAUGCCGCGUGUAUGAAGAAGGCCUUCGGGUUGUAAAGUACUUUCAGCGGGGAGGCGUUACCCGCAGAAGAAGCACCGGCUAACUCCGUGCCAGCAGCCGCGGUAAUAC
rnacentral:rRNA from 1 species